rnacentral:rRNA from 1 species
UACGUAGGGUGCAAGCGUUGUCCGGAAUUAUUGGGCGUAAAGAGCUCGUAGGCGGUUUGUUGCGUCGGCUGUGAAAUCCCGAGGCUCAACCUCGGGUCUGCAGUCGAUACGAGCAAACUAGAGUGUUGCAGGGGAGACUGGAAUUCCGGGUGUAGCGGUGAAAUGCGUAGAUAUCCGGAGGAACACCGGUGGCGAAGGCGGCUUCCUGGACCGACACUGACGCUGAGGCGCGAAAGCUAGGGGAGCAAACGGG